UGGGGAAAAUUGCGCAAUGGGCGAAAGCCUGACGCAGCCAUGCCGCGUGUGUGAAGAAGGCCUUAGGGUUGUAAAGCACUUUCAAUUGGGAAGAAAGGUUGCGUGUUAAUAGCACGUAGCUGUGACGUUACCUUUAGAAGAAGCACCGGCUAACUCCGUGCCAGCAGCCGCGGUAAU
rnacentral:rRNA from 1 species